rnacentral:rRNA from 1 species
GAUGAACGCUAGCGACAGGCCUAACACAUGCAAGUCGAGGGGCAGCAUUGCAGUAGCUUGCUACUACAGAUGGCGACCGGCGCACGGGUGAGUAACGCGUAUGCAACCUACCUACUACAGGGGGAUAGCCCGAAGAAAUUCGGAUUAACACCGCAUAACACAUGGAUCUCGCAUGAGAUGCAUUUUAAAAUUUAUUGGUAGUAGAUGGGCAUGCGUUCCAUUAGCCAGUUGGUGAGGUAACGGCUCACCAAAGCAACGAUGGAUAGGGGAACUGAGAGGUUGAUCCCCCACACUGGUACUGAGACACGGACCAGACUCCUACGGGAGGCAGCAGUGAGGAAUAUUGGUCAAUGGACGCAAGUCUGAACCAGCCAAGUCGCGUAGAAGGAUGAAGGGUUCUAUGGGAUUGUAAACUUCUUUCGUACGAGGGGUAAAACGCGGGACGUGUCCUGCCUUGCAAGUACU